UUCAAGCUGAUCCUAGUCGGGUAACAUCUACUAUUGUAGAGCAUCUCCAUUUGGGAGAAAGUUUAUUUAUGUUUGCUUGGUUUUGAUUUUUUCUUAAAACCAGAUGCUGACAGCAAGGCUUGGACCCCGAAAUCAUAAGGAACCCCCUAUGCAUUUCCUAGUUGAAAAUCGAAAGUACACUUCUCACGAGACGUCACAGAGCUAACUUUUUUUAUCACCAUUACAAUAGUAAAUUAACUAAACCAGUUUAAUGUUGAUACAAAAGUUCGGUCGAUUCACAAUAGUAGCCGCUACUUUACAUUAUAAAGGGUUUCCGGUCCGGAGAGUCGCCGUUGUUGUACAGUUCCUGCACGCAGUGCCCAAUAAUCAACCAAUCACACACAUAAACACCAUCCACACUCCCAGCGCAGCUCAUCUCGUCUCGUCUCGUCUCAGCUCAGAUUAGCAGGCGAUCAUCGAUCUCAGCUCAAGGGUAGAUUGUUCUGGGGAUGAUGAUGUCGCCGAUGUUGUUGUGCCACGGGUCGGCGAGGUGGGUGGCCAGGUUCUCCAGCGGUCCGGUGCCCGGGUACGCCGACUGCUGCACGCAGAACCCGACGAACGCCAACAU